GCGCAUUGCACUUGAAACGAGAGCGAGAGCGAGAAAAUAGGAUGUCCGAGCUGCCGCAGACAAACAAUUUAAAUUGUGAGGGAGGCCGAAACGGGGCCAUGGAACUGCGUUGAAAGGUCCCGAAUGUCCCAUUUGGUGAGCCAGUGCGAAAAAGGGCAGCCAAAUACAAACAACAACAACAACAACAAUGUCAAAUAAAAAUAUGUGCGACACGAACAACGUUCCGGAACACAAACGGAAAUUGUGAAAUAUACAAAUGUUUGGCUUCCAUAGGUGAACUACAUAAACUGAAACCAUGACAAAUUCGAUAAUACUAUUAAUCCUAUUUGGUUCGCUUUGUGUAAUUGGGACGAAUAUGAAGUGUGGCUGUUCUCUGAGUGAGGACAAAACCGCAAACUGUUCGAGUCGGAUAAAUUAUGAAUGCUUGUCUGAUUUGAAACCUACCGGGCUAAUACUGCAGAAACUCAACUAUACCACCCUCCCAGCUGAACUGUUGCAGUACAAUUUUACAAGCUUGGAAAUGUUAGAUCUGUCAUAUAAUAAUAUUAAAAAAAUACCUGUACAAUAUGACAAGCAUUUUAGCAAUUUAAGUUUGCUUCAACUGAGCCACAACAAGUUUACUGACCCCAAUGAACUACGGCACGUUGAUUCCAAUCUCCCCGUCAAUAUGGAUAGUAAUCCAUUAAUAUGCAAAUGCGGAUUUGAGAAAGAGAUCCAGGAACUCGUAAAGCGAAGAGGACCGAAAGUGAUGUGCACGAACAAUGGAAUGAAUAACGUAGAAUCGCUAGAAACAUAUUGUUCGAAAGGCCAAUAUGAAAAAAAAAA